rnacentral:lncRNA from 1 species
AAAGAGUGGAAGUUGUGACUCUGCCUUCUCUAAAACAGGAUCCGGAUUCAGAGGCGAAUCAUCUCCUUUAUACAUACAGGACAGAGAGAGAUAUGGCCCCAACCUGACCCUGAGCAGCAUGAAUGUGUGCUAAAAAUAGCAGCUAUACAAUGCGGCAGGCGGCCCGGCGAGACUCUGCGUUUAAAUGGUUUUCUUACCAGCGGUUUCAGAGCACUUUCCUCUCAUGAAUUAACCCUCAGAGGAGCCCUGGAAGGGAGCUGACCAUCUUGGCUCAAAAUCCUCUUCAUGAUUACUCCACAGUGUCUGGAUUCCCUCAUACUAACAGGGCUGCUGGACAUCCCAGAGUUCCUAAGAUGCUUAGACUCAUUAAGUUCAACUCUAACCCUCAAAAAGGAGGAUGAUAGACAGGUAUCUUCUUCCAAUACAUGAACAGUGAAAUGCCUGAUUCCUAGGGCACCGUUGGUCAAUGGGAAGAAGCAGAGCGAUUUGU